rnacentral:rRNA from 1 species
GAGAAGACCCUAUGGAGCUUUAGACAUAAGACAGACCAUGUUAAGGAACCCUAAGAUAAUGGGAUGAACUUAGUGGCUAUUGUUUGACUUGUCUUUGGUUGGGGCGACCACGGAGUAAAACAAAACCCCCGUGUGGUAUGAGGGCAGCCCCCUCUAAGGUAAGAGUGACAACUCUAACUAACAGAAAUUCUGACCAAUAAUGAUCCGCUAAAGCGAUCAACGGACCGAGUUACCCUAGGGAUAACAGCGCAAUCCCCUUCUAGAGCCCAUAUCGACAAGGGGGUUUACGACCUCGAUGUUGGAUCAGGACAUCCUAAUGGCGCAGCCGCUAUUAAGGGUUCGUUUGUUCAACGAUUAAAGUCCUACGUGAUCUGAGU